rnacentral:misc_RNA from 1 species
AGCUGCUCUCUUAUCCUUUCUCUUUGGUCUGUAACUAGACCUCUCCCUCUUGGGAAGCCACCUCUCUGGAUCAGGUAAAGGUCCUGGAUUAGCUGGGUCAAACCCCUUCGGAUAUUUUGGCUUUCUCUUCCUCUUUUUCUUUGCCUUAUCCUUACUCUUCGCUUCGUAUGUUUCAGUGACACCAGCAUUUGUACCUUUCUCGGCAUGCUUGGCACCAGAAGUUUUCUCCAAACUGUCGACAUCUAAUGCUUUCAAACCAGGUAGUGGUUUUAACUGCUUCUCAUAAGCUUCUGCUUUCUCAAUGUCACCAUGGGCUGCAGUCUGGAUUAAUCCAACUAAAGCCUCAAUACUUCCAUGGCUUUUCACUAGCUGCUCAUAAAGGCGUGCUGCCUCAUCUUUCCUUCCAUACCUGAGCUUGAAAGCAGCAGCCUCCUGCAUGAUGGUAUUGAGCUUAUUGUCUUCAGUCAUGGCAUUUGACCACCACUUGAUUGCGGAAUCAAACACAGCAUCAGCACCAUCAAUAUCUCCAGCCCGUUCCUUGAGAGAAACAAUGGUGGCAACAGUUGCAGGCUUGUGUUGAAUCUCAGGUAUUUUCGCCAAGGAAUCAGCUGCAAUCUGCGGAUGGCCAGCAGCUGCAGCAACCUGAGCCCUUGCAAGCAGGAUAACCUUGGACCUGUCAGGAAACUUAUCUACAUACUGUCCAAGUAUUUCUUCAGCUUUAGCAGCCUUGUUCUCUCUCACAUGUACAGCAGCUUGAAGAAGUACAGGCAUCAAGCUACCAGGGAACAUCCCAGGUAGGGCACUAACAAGUUCUCUAGCCUGAUCCAUCUUAUUAGAAUGAAGUAGCAGCAGCACCCUAUUGGUAUAUAUUGCUUCCCUUUGCUUCUGUGAGAGCUUCAAGUCUAGUCCACGAGCAAGCUGGAACUUUUCUGGUCCAUCACUUUUCUCUAUUAGCUUAUCAAGUUUCCUUAGGCCAUCAGAGACAUCUUUAGGACCCUUUAAAGCAAUGAGAUUAUUUACUGCCACCGCAAGUGAAGACUCGUCAGCCAAAUUUCUUUUGACAAGAUCAGUAUACGAUGCAACAGCCUCUUGGGUGUUCCCUAGAAUCUGUUGUACAUAUGCAAUUUGAACAGCUAUAGGAGCCA